UUGCUUCAGCAGCAUAUAUACUAAAGUUGGAAUGAUACAGAGAAGAUUAGCAUGGCCCCUGCUCAGAGAUGACAUGCAAAUUUGUGAAGGAAUAUUUGCUAUC
ensembl:snRNA U6 U6 spliceosomal RNA